AGGUUGAUAGGCUUGGAGUGUAAUCGUGGCAACACGUUCAGCUGACAAGUACUAAUAGGUCGAGGGCUUAUCCUU
rnacentral:rRNA from 1 species